rfam:TPA: Bos taurus chromosome 5, whole genome shotgun sequence.
UCCCUGGUAGUUCAGAGGUUAAAGCGUCUGCCUGCAAUGCAGGAAAUCAGGGUUCUAUCCCUGGGUCGGGGUA